rnacentral:rRNA from 1 species
AGUGAACGCUGGCGGUAUGCCUAACACAUGCAAGUCGAACGGCAGCACAGUAAGCUCUUGCUCUUACUGGUGGCGAGUGGCGGACGGGUGAGGAAUACAUCGCAAUCUACUUUUUCUUGGGUGAUAUCGUAGGGAAACUUACGCUAAUACCUCAUACUACCUACGGGUGAAAUCAGGGGAUCUUCGCACCUUUCGUGAUUGUAUGAGCCGAUGUCGGAUUAGCUAGUUGGCGGGGUAAAGGCCCACCAAGGCAACGAUCCGUAGCUGGUCUGAGAGGAUGAUCAGCCACACUGGAACUGAGACACGGUCCAGACUCCUACGGGAGGCAGCAGUGGGGAAUAUUGGACAAUGGGCGAAAGCCUGAUCCAGCAAUACCGCGUGAGUGAAGAAGGCCUUCGGGUUGUAAAGCCCUGUUGUUAGGAAAGAAAAGAAGCAGGAUAAAACCCCGAUGUUCUGACGGUACCCAAAGAAAAAGCACCGGCUAACUUCGUG